rnacentral:lncRNA from 1 species
UUAAAUAUUCUCUCCGUUUCAUUAAGAUAGAUGUUUUAGAAAAAAAAUUGUUUCAAAAUGAUGGAAGUUUUGUGUUUACUAUGAAAAAAUUGCAAAUUUCAAUAAUAUUAAUUGAUUUUACUGAAUUACACUAUUGGUUAAAAGUUAUUAAAACUUGAAAAUUACAGAAAACGAUAUAUUUAUUAUAAUAAUUUAAUAUGUUUUUUUAAUAUAAGCGAAGAAAAUAGAAAAUCUAUUUUCGUGGCGGAACGGAGGGAAUACUCCGCUGCCACUUGCUUCCUUCUUAAUUAAAGUGACUAGAAAUAAAGUUUUUCAUUUUUCUUCAAAACAAAUCAAAUCUUAUGUUAUGUUGAGAUAGGAAAGAUAUGCGUUGAUGUUUUACGUCUAUAUACACUUUUAUUAAACUCUUACGUCUCUUACUAAUUCCAGAAAUUCAAUACAGUUUUGAUUACAAGGUAAAUUGUUGCCACCUUACCAAAUAAGCCCAGAGUCGUUCAGAUGGGAUCAUUAUAAUGGGCAAAUGUCCAAAAUAGCAUCUUUCUAAGUUUAUAUCACAAAAAUAGCACACAAAAACUAAAAUGACCAAAAUAGCACCUUUCUAAGUUUAUAUCUACCCCCAAAACCUCAUUUCUCAAUUCUAAACCCUAAACCCUAAACUCUAAACCCUAAACCCUAAACCCUAAACCCUAAACUCUAAACCCUAAAUCCUAAACUCUAAACCCUAAACCCUAAACCAUAAACCUAAACUCUAAACUCUAAACCCUAAAUCCUAAACUCUAAACCCUAAACCCUAAACCAUAAACCUAAACUCUAAACUCUAAACCCUAAAUCCUAAACUCUAAACCCUAAACCCUAAACCAUAAACCUAAACUCUAAACUCUAAACCCUAAAUCCUAAACUCUAAACCCUAAACCCUAAACCAUAAACCUAAACUCUAAACUCUAAACCCUAAAUCCUAAACCCUAAAUCCUAAACCCCACCCUUUAAC